GGACUCUUAGCUCAGUUGGUCAGAGCAACCGGCUCAUAACCGGUAGGUCACAGGUUCAAGCCCUGUAGGGUCCAC
rnacentral:tRNA from 1 species